AGAAAAGUAAGCUAAUAAAGCUAAUGGGUUCAUACCCCAUAAAUAGAGUAAAUACUCUCUCUUCUA
rnacentral:tRNA from 1 species